rnacentral:rRNA from 1 species
UACAUGGGGUGCAAACGUUGCUCGGAAUUAUUGGGCGUAAAGCGCACGUAGGCGGUUUGUUAAGUCGGAUGUGAAAUCCCUCGGCUCAACUGAGGAAGUGCAUCCGAAACUGGCAGGCUUGAGUACUAAAGAGGGUCGCGGAAUUCCCGGUGUAGAGGUGAAAUUCGUAGAUAUCGGGAGGAACACCGGUGGCGAAGGCGGCGACCUGGUCCUUGACUGACGCUGAGGCGCGAAAGCGUGGGGAGCAAACAGG